rnacentral:lncRNA from 1 species
UGAUUUUUUAUAUUUUUUAUUUUAUCAUUUGCUAUUUUUUAGUAAUUUUCUCUUUUCUGGUUAUUUUUAAUUCAUUUUAAAUAGUUUUUAAUAUUCAAAAAAUGAAAAAAAUAUUUUCUCAACCUCUUUGAAUGAUGAUAGAUCUAUGAAAAAUAUUCUCAUCAAUAUAUUAAUUGAUUUGAGAUUUAUUUGAGAUUUUAGUUCAAUUAGUUUGUUUUUAUUCAUUUUUAAUUGAUUAAAAAUAGUUUUUGACUUUU